UUUUAUUAUCUCCAACAGCAGUGUGUUACUCCUUUAAUGCUCCCAUGUGAUAAUCUGCUGCGGUUUAUAAUGUCGCGGUGGUAAUUUGAGCUCUUUUCAACCGUGAUUUAUUUUUUAAAAAAGUGAAUGACAGAUUUACAAAAUGUCUUUUUCACAAGCUUGACAUCAGGUAACGAGCAAAUAGUGCUUUUUUUUCGAGCCGCGGAGGGGGCAUGAUAGGAGAGGAGGGGAGGGAGUGAGGCAGCUCCAUAAUGAUCAGCGAACACUGGCUGGUUUUUACACAUAUUUCAGCGUCGAUGUGCCUUUUCUCAGUUUUUUUUCUUUUUUUUUUCUUCCGGAGACAUUAAAUAAGCAGCCCGACGGAUCAGCCCCGCUGCACACCGGUCUGGUUGUAUAACUAACUGCGUUUCACCUCAGCUGAACUUGACGCAUCUGGUUCAUCGGCGGCGCAGGACGCACGGCGCAGUCUGAGUGUCCCCGCUGAACCGAGCUGGAUGGUCGGCCACGGGGACACACAGAGAGAGGGGUGACGGUGGUGGCGAUGGUGGUGGAGCAACACUUUCAUGGCCGCCUUUGGACACCGAUUCUCAACACUUCUCCUUCUGCAAAUAUUGCUCUUUUUCCUUAUUGUCAGACACACAAUGGAAGACGAGCCACCAUAGGAAAUAUAAAGACUUGGAGUUGGACACCCCCCGGAGGAAGAGAUCAUCCAACUUGAACUUGAGAGCAUCGGUACGUAUUAUCAUUUCUCUCUUUAAAAAGUGCGUUAAAAUGACAGCUUUAUAAUAAUAAUAAUAAUAACAGGAAAAAAAACGUUGCACACCGAGUGGGUUGCAGCGAUGUUUUCCCCCCUCAGACUGGGUCAGUGCAUGGUGUCACUGUUAUGACUGAAACGAUCCACGCCAGUCCUUUGGGUUAAGUUUUCCCGGGUGCCAAAAACAUUUGUGACAUGCGAAUUUGAGAGCCAGACGAGCUUUACGCGGAGAUGAAAUGGUCGCCAGACUGGCAAUACAAGAAAAGAGGUCGCCUUUUUCGUGCCCUAGUUUCUGUUCGCAGACAGAGAGAGAGGCAUAAUCUUCCCCUUUGUUGUCCCCCGAUGCAAACACAGAUAGGCAGCCGGGCGUCCAUCCACCGCCUCUGCAAAUGAGCAAUUUGUUGGAUUUCAGUUUUAAAAAAAAAAAAAAAAAAAAAAAAAAAAGCAUUUAAUUUGAAAAAAAGCGGCGUCUCACGAAGCUGCUCGCCCCGAGAUAAUCAGUGUAUGUAAGACAUGGGAACAUAUGGUGGAGCUGUGCGGUUUUCCCCUCAUGUGUCACUGUGGUUUCCCCCUCUGAGAAGUUUUUUUGAUGAAAUUAAUUCAUUGAAAUCCGAGAGGAGCUCACUCAGCAGUAGCUCGAUGUAUUUUUAAUGGUUUAAAGCCAUGUAUGGUGCUGCCUGGCUGCUGUUCUCAGGUGCAGACGGAGCUACUUGGACAAAAAAAAGUAAAUAAAUAAAGAGAAAAGAAAGUUAAAAUCCUGUGAGAUAGUAGUAGUAAUAAUAGUAAUAGUCAAAGUUGGAUGAUCUUGAUUUAUUUGGUGUUUUAUGUGGACAUUUCCUCAGAAAGAAUUAACAGGUGCUGCACAUUCAUCAGGUAGAGAACAGUGGAAAUGAGUUUUCAGGUUCAUGCAGAGUUCGAUUUUAAGCUUCUUCUUGUAGCUGUACAUGGUGAAUAUAUAACACUGCACGCCUUUCCCACAAAAAAUAAUCAAUUUGUGUUGUUUUCUUUCUUCAAAGCAGAAAUUCAAACCAGCAUUUAGAGUUCUAGAAGGAUAAUUUACAAUAGAAUAAUUUAUUAUUUGCAUUUGCAUUGAGUGUGUUCUGUUUUACAGCACAUUUCAGCUUCGUUUUUUAGUUUAGUUGUCUCCUAUCAUGGCACAGAUUUCCUUCAUACCAAAGAUAACUUCUGCUUCCAACACCGCGAGGCAGCGGCACCUUACACUUGGCACAAUUCAAGUUCAAAACCGUAACUUUAUCAGGUUGUUUCUGCCCGUCUCGGACAUUAUGGCACAUCUGGAUGUAUAUUUUUUGCUUUUUGUGCUGUCAAGUUAGUGAGUGCUGGCCAGUUGGGUAAGAUUCUGCUCAUUCUGUGUCCGUUAAAAGUGCAAGGUGUCAUUUUUUCCCUAGAAAAUAUUUCUGCUAGCUGACAGAAACACAAUGUUGUGCUGUUACCAAAUUCCCUCCAUGUCUCUCUUUCGCUGGAAAGAGGAACCGAACUCUCAGAAGCCGAGAUACGAACGGGGUCAGGGUGACCUUUUGGCCACCCUUCUGGUCGAUCGCAAACACACUGCUUCAUGUGAUGUAUUAAUACUCUUGACGCUGCAUGUUUAUAAAGCACAAUCACGGCUAUAAACAGGAAAAUGCCAUUGUGCCUUCGAGAAAAUGGAACAGAAACACAGGUGGCCCUCAGACAAUGGACUGAGGUUCAUUUCUCCACUGUGAGUCAGUGGGACAGGAGAAAGCACAUGGCUGCAGAAUGAAAAUUGGCGUGAUUAUCUUCUGAUUUACUCUGCCACCCUGCAGCUCAGAGCCCCGUUGUGGGCCAUGCUGGCAGUGGCCAAUGUGGAGACAAGGAAGAGGCUCAGAUUCACCCAAAAAAUUCUCUCAUUUGCUUUCAGAACAGCUCCCUCCCACUCUCUCUCUCCCCUGCUCAUAUCUCACGCAAUUGAUUGAAACCCUAAACGGCGAGAUUGGGCCGAACGCAACCAAGCCUUUCUAUGAAUAGUUGAUUGGACGCAGUGUCGCGUGUUGUUUCUUUAAGGGCGUUUCAGGUCAGAGGGCGGCGAGGCGGCAGGGUCGGCGGGUUGGAGGAUUUUCAAUGUCCCAUCCCGUCCUUUAGCUGUGCUGUAAAGGCACCCAGGCUCCUGUCACUCCCUAAUCAGGUCAUCUGGUGUAUUGAGAGUACAUGCACAUAGCACUGCUUUGCCUGCGAGGGGAUUUAUAAGGUGCUUUUCUUAGCCGCUUUUUAAAUAUAUCAUUUAUUUUAUUGUGUGCGCCUGAGCCACCGUGUCAUGUUCUAAUCUGCACAGAUGGAUGGUGUAUUAGCAGUAGGUGGGCGUUUGUCACUGAUUAUUUCUUUGGUAUUAAUAAUGUGGAAAGCCAUGAGCUGACAGUACAGGGUGUAGCCGGUGUGUGUUUUGGAAGUGCAACAGGCGCUGCGUGUUUGUUGCAUACUGCUGUCCCCCAACCAAACACUUCACGUUUUUAAAUCUCAGUGCAGGGCAUUUAAGUGCUUGACCUAAUUUCUCUGGCAGCGAAGAAUCCACCAGUGAAGGCCUUCGUCUGUCCGUGUGUGCGUAUGUGCGCAAGCGCGUGUUGCUCUGGGUGUUUCCUCCUUGCCUUUCUAACAGGAAGCUGAUGUGGAGUUCAACUGAGGACAGGGAAAAGGCCUUUUCUUUCCACUGUGAAUCAUUUGAGAGCGAGAGAGGGAGAAAAAAAUGAAAAAAAAAGUGGAGCAAGAGAAAAAAAAAGAAGCAACCAGGCUGCUGCAUUGAUUCAACCCUCUCUCACUCGUUCUCCUUUUCCCUCCUUUCAUUCUCUUUACCUUAUUGUCUGCUUCUUUUUCUCACUCUGUUGUUUUUGCUCCUGUGAUGUCGGAUAGACAGCGGCGUUCUGCAGGGAAUCGGUGGGUUUAUGGAGAGUUCACAACUCCUGUGAGAAGAUCGGGGAAGUGGGGUGGAAAGCAAAUGAAGCAGGGCUCUGUGGGGAGCAGUGCAGGUUCUUCCGGUUCAGUUUUAACAUACCAACAGCCAAAAAAAAAAAAAAAAAAAUGCCCGCGUUAUGUACUUAGGAAGCAAAAAGACCAUAAAACACCUACACAAACUGUUUUAUUAAGGCCAGUGUUGAGGCGCUGUGAAGGAUUCUGAAACCUUUUGUAUUCCCUAAAUCUGGAAAGAACAGAAGUAGCCGUCUGGGUGAGAGAUAAAUGCCAAACAACAAGGAUGAUUGGAAAUCUGGCAUGAAAUCCCCAAAACUGCUGCAAUCUUUUGGUAGUAAUGCGGAUUCAUUUGAAGGUCACUGAGUUCAACAUUUCAUGCUGCAUGACACGUUUUCCAAGAACCGAAUCCAGGCCAAGGCAAAUGUUAGAAACGUUGAAACAGCAUGACCUAAACUGUAAUUGUAGAUAAUCUCAUCCUCAAGGUUUUGUGUAUAUAUUGCGGUAAAGUGGGGGGAUUUUUAGGUAUUAAAUAAGGCCACAUAUUCUAACUGAAACCACCUACUCGGGUUCUUUCAUGUGUUUGCAAAAUCUUUUUGACUGCAAGAUGGAAGUAGGAACGUUGUGGGACGCAUUGCAGCUGCAGCAAGUCAGAAAUAUUCAUGAAUGCAUGUUUGACAAGGAACAAUGAGGAAGAUAGACUCUGGUUUUUAAUGAACUGUGCUGUUUGUAGGGUAGUGGAGGGGCCUUUUCCUUGACUUUCUUGUUGUGGUUUUAUAACUUUGUGCUAAUAUACAGAACUAAAGCGUCAUGCAAUGUUCUUUGGCAGCAUCAGACUUGCAGCAGUUGACUUUAUGCUCCCAAAGGGCAGAAUCAGUUAAAUCAGUGAAAUAGUUUUAUUAUUUACAGCCUAAAUUAGCAUAUAGCCAUCUCAAUUCUGCUCGGUUCAUCUGUGCUUAAUGUGACAAUAAGUAUCCUGUGUAUCUAAAUGUCUUUUUUUGCAAAUUAUGUGAUCCAGCAUGAUUAAAAAUUAUGCAUGAUUCCAAUUAACUAAACUGAUUGUGUAAUUAAAAACAAAACUUAUGUUCGAAAGGAAGAAUGAAUAAAUUCUUGCUGGUCCUCUGCCCAACAGCAGUGACAUGUAGCAGCAGAAAUGUUCCAGUGAGAAUGUCCUGUUCCCAGCUCAUGUUGGCACGCCGUGAGAGAACGGCGUGCAACAAAACUGUGCACUACACGUCCUUAUAAAUCACCAAUCUCAAUAAUUAUUCACAGUGCAGGUUGAAACAACAGAGCGGUGAUGUUUCACAGUGUUGAUUUGUGAUACGAGCCUCUCUGUGUGUCUUUUUGGUUUUGUGGUGCAGGGCGGCCCAUACCAAGAGCGAGAGGCAAAUGAGGAACCACGAGGCCUCGGACACGGCGAAGAAGUUUCCGGCCUCUGCUAAAUGGUGCAUUUUGGCAUUUUUAAAAAAACGACAACAUGCCUUUCAAAUCUUCUAAUGGGUUUUGUGGUUCAGCACGUUAAAGAGAGGAUAUGUGGACGUACUGUGCAGCGACCGACGGGGGCCCGGCACAAUGAGCGGCGGAGAUUUCUGCGCUUUAUCCCGGAUAGGCGAUCGCUGUGCCGCGGACCCAGUUCGCUUCAAAGUCUCAGUGGGGCUUCAUGUUCUUGAACACCUCAGCACAUCAGAGUCGACCAUGACCAAAAGGGUCUGGCACGAGCUCCUCCAUCACUGUCACCCUGGCAGGAAAUCCUGACGUCGCUUCCCGCAUUCGGUGCAUCCAAACCUUCCUCUGAGACCCUCGGUUAGGGGGAGAAUUAUGAGUUAAAAAGAGCAGGAUUUGGACGAGGAACACGUCUUUGUUGGACUCCAGUUGGCUCACAAGGUGCAGCAGUAAAAUCUGCAGUAAAGUCAAAUACAGGAUAUGAGUGACUGUUGGUAUUUUUUUACUUUUAUUGUCUAUUUCUUACCCACGUUUUCCAUGUAAUGCACAUACACUACUGUACAUACAUUUGUGUGAUGCUGCAUUGCGUAAACACGCUUUAACGUGCUUUUUGUAACUCGAAAACUGUUGAUCGUUUUGUUAACUUUGGAAGAAUUUUACAAUAUUUUGCAGUGUUUUUCCCCGUUUCUCAUAGGUUCUCUGCAUACUUUACAAUCUGAUUUGCCAUGUUUAUUUAUAUCAUAAACAAAAAAGUGUAUUUCCUCAAAAUAUCAGAAGACCUGCAAACAAUAUUGGAUCUGGAGAGCAUGAGAUAAACCAGAAUUACAUAUUUUUCAUGCAAAAACUGUCACUAAGAUGUAGUUUGUGAGAUUUAAUGCAGUACUUGCGGAAUCUUAAAGAGGUUCUGCGUUGAGAAAAUGAAAUUAUAGCAAUUGUGAAUUAGAUUUUAACAUCUCAUCUGCAGGUCUGUUUAAUAAAACAUGUCGACGCUGCAGAACAUGACAAAAACAAAAGGGAAGCAAAUGUGAAAAUCACACUACGUUUUGCACCAGACACACAACACACACACAGACACACACAUGCAGGCAAACACCCAGACACAUUUGAUGCUAUGUACCCCACAAUGAACCCUAGCUCCUAAGAUGAAUGGGGUUCCCACGCCUCUCCCAAGGAGUGCAGGGCACAGCCUCCUCCUCUGAGCAUUCACACACACACACACACACACACACACACACACACACACACAAUGCAUGAACUACAGAUGGCCACACAGUCUCACACAAACACGAGUUCAUUUGACUACGAUACAAAGCCACACACAUGUAGUAAAAAAGUGUCGUGACACGUUUUAAAAAACACAAAUACUUAAAGUUAUCAUCAUAAAUAUUAUUCUGAGAGCCUGAAGCCACGACGCCAGUUUCAAAGAUGGAGUCGCUCAAGCUCCAACUCGAGAUGCAACUCGCCAAAAUUUAAAAACAUUUUAUUUAUUUUUUUUUAAAUCUUAGUUUGUUAAGCAGCAAUCCAGAGAGGAAAUGAGGUCUGAGGUUUGUUUUGGUUGUUGUGCUUUCAGUUGCAUUUCAGCUUCUUUUUGUUUCGUUGUGUGUGUGUGUGUGUGUUUGUGUGUGUGUGUGUGUGUGUGUGUGUGUGUGAGAGGCGAAUGUGUGUGUGCUAAAGUGUUGUUUUGCAGGGAGAAUUUAAAUGAAGCGGGUUUUUGUGGGAGAAUUCAGUAUUUUGUUUUCGAAAGGUUUUAGCAACACUACGUCCUUGAUAGAGAGAGGGAGCGUGUGUGAGUGUAUUUUUGUGUGUGUGUGUGUGUGUGUGUGUGUGUGUGUGUGUGUGUGUGUGUGUGUGUGUGUGUGUGGGGUGUUCGUGUUUAUUUCUGUCCAUGGUUUAAAUUGUAAAUUCUGACUUAUGAAUUAGAAAAGAAUAUUUUUGCAGUAUUUAUUUUAAACUCACUGCACAUCUCUGUUACAGUUGAAAUUAAAUUGUGUUGAAUUAUUUCAAUUUUUUUAAUCGUGGAAAGAAAAAGAUGGUUAGCAAUUCAACAAUAGAGUUUAGAGUGUAUAUUUUUAUUCUUAUAAAUUCCUGUAAUUUUACUGUAUAAUAGAAGUUUAUUCUGAAAUGUGUGUUUUAUAUAUUGUGUGUGUGUGUGUGUUUGUGUUACACAGAGGGGGCCUCCUGUAUUUAUAUAUUUAUUUAUUGCACAACUAAGCAUACACUUUUAAAAUAAAUUGUCAGCAUAAAAAAAAAAAUAGAGGUUUUAUGUCUAGAUAAUUUUUUUUUCCCUAAAUGCUGAUUUUUUUUGUUUCUGGUAUAUUUUAAAUUACGAAGUGCUUUUUUUUUUUUUUUUUUUUAAAUGCAGUAUUUUAUUUUUAGACACUAAAAUUGGCCCACAACAAAAGAAACCAAGCCAAUUACGUAAAAUUCAAAUAAAUGUUGAACAAAAAGCCGCAGCUUAAUUUGUAAUUCCACUGACACACAGUAAUAUAAUGCCCACUAAUCAUUUUCUGGAGUGAAGGCUUUUCUGAGAGCUUCUUCAACUCUGGCCAAUGUAUGGUAAUAUAGUUAUCCAGGCUAAAUUCGGCUGCAGCGUUCUGACCCUUGAUCACUCUAACAUAUGUUACAUCAGCCUUAAUGAUACACUCAAGUAGCUGCUUGGCAGGUUUAUGACCUGAGCUCUACAUGGACACCUUGGCGAGUGUGUGCACAUUUGUGGUUAUAUCUGAGCAGCAUUGUGUGUAACUAUAUUUAU